UCCCACAGGCCAAGCCAGGCGUCUGCACCCCAUUCUCUUGGUUCCGACGAAUAUGCUCUCCAUGAGGGUGUUCUUCAGGGCCUACCACAAUGGCUGGCACUAGAGAAGGGCACAAAAUUGAAGAACAGUGAAGACAAAAGCAAUAAGAUGAUUAAGGCCAUGUGAGACAGCAACAAUAUCAGGUGAAUGUCACCCUUUAUCGAGUUGUGAGUAUCCAGCCUCUCACUUU
rnacentral:lncRNA from 1 species